CUUAGAAUAUCAACAUUGUUUGAUUAAUGGCUACACAACAAAAUGAGAAUUAGUUACUCAUGGAGAAAAAAUACAAGUUGAUUGUAAAUAUUGAAGGUUUAGAGUUUGGAUAGUACCAACUUGGUACAAGUGUCAUACAGCUAACCAAACACUAAAUAUUGGAGCAAUUGAGAAGUGGGUGGAUGGAUUAGAAAUUACUAUGUUCAAGGAAAAAUAUUGAUUUCCAUGUCACUAUAUCGCUGCCCAAAUGAUAAAUUUUUGUUCAAGUCCUCAGUGGAUCUAAUUUAUUGACAGAUUAUUAGAGUUA
rnacentral:lncRNA from 1 species